UGGUUGUUUCUUGGGGUAGUGCUGUGUGGCUGGAGAUCCCUGUCACCAGUUGGUGCUGUGGUGCGAGUGCUCCGUGGGCCAUGCAGUAGGAGUGUGGCUGCUCCCUGGGCUUGAUCAUUGCUCUCCAUGUCUGCACAUCUUAUUUCAGACAUUAAAAAGAAACGUACAAGAGGUGCAAACAGAGACUCUAUUAGUGGCCUUCAGUAUCUCUUCAUCUCAAACAACCUUGGAGAGAAGUUGUAAUGCACUACAAAGGCUGGAAGUGCUAUGAUAGUAAUUGCUUCAAGAAUACAAUUUGCCUUCUGCCAAGAGAAAGCCCAUAGAAGUCUGAAAUGUACAUCCACAAAUGAGUUUGAAGACAUUGAAAAUACCGAAGCAGGCUGAAAACAGGCAAACAGAUGGCCUGGGUGGGAGCUGGAGGAACCUUCAUUGUUGCAGCUUUAGAAGAUCAAAAUGGUGCACAAUAGAAGAGGAAGAAAGACUGAAAUAUUUUGGUACAACUUGGGAAAUUUCUGCUUUUUGAAUAAUUUCCUUCAAUAAUCUCAUCUCCAUCUAUUUGUUUCUAGUCCAGAAACUUCCAACAGCUUAUUAGGUUGACUAAGUUUUACACAGCCUUGCUGACCUUUGAUCUGCCUCCUGUGGCCAGCUCCAUGGAUCUCCAGGAUAAGCCUGCUCGACCUCACACUCCACAACCACAACCUUUGGCAGCAUAAGUCUUCUCCCAGACGUUCCCUCUAUUACAUAAUUCAGCAGCCAAGAAAACAAGAACAGUUUAUCUUAUGCUGACCAGCUCUUCUCUUCCAAAAAUGCAGAAGCUGCUGCAUUUCAUAAGUAUAGCUGAGUGCAGAGAUUCAUAGUUUAAAUCCAA